CAAAUUAGCUAUGUGGCACUGUAUGAGCUUUUUUUUUUGUUGGAUUUGCUUUGUGUGUGUGUGUUUUCCGUUCAUCUUGCUGUGGAGGUCAUUGCCAAGAUGCACUUUAAAUUUAAUCAAACCGCGGGAGUGAACUCCCGAAAUGGUCAUAGGUGUGUUUGAAUUUACUUUGUGGAAUUAUUUUUGCUCCUGGACUCUUACCUACCUUGAUUUUAAGAAUUGAACUAUUUGGACGUACUCUUGUGAGAGGUGAAGUAUGGCGCUGUGGACGAUAUAGCAUCGUGCAUUUGCCUACGACAGUUACGUGAAGAAUUACGAGUAUGUCAAAGCAAUUCAGCGUGAAUUUCGGCGCCAUUUCAACACUCACCGAAAUCAGGCUGUUCCCACCCUUAACACAAUCUUACGUUGGGUGAAUGCACUUCGUACACGGGGUACACUAAUGAACGGAAGACCGGUGGGGGUGCUACGACCGGUACGGAUCCCAGAAAAUGUGGAACGUGUCGGACAAGCUUUGAUACGGAGUUCGAAUCGCUCUGCAUUGAUGGGGUGACGGCCCACACAGCCAGAGUAUCAAUGUACGCUCUUCGCCCUCUUUGGUGACCGCCACAUUUC